GGGAUUGUGGCUCAAUAGUAGAGCACUUGCCUAGCAUGCGUGAGGCACUGGGUUCCAUCCCAGCACCA
rnacentral:tRNA from 1 species